rnacentral:rRNA from 1 species
UACGGGGGGGGCAAGCGUUGUUCGGAAUUACUGGGCGUAAAGGGCUCGUAGGCGGCCAACUAAGUCAGACGUGAAAUCCCCAGGCUCAACCUGGGAACUGCGUCUGAUACUGGAUGGCUUGAAUCCGGGAGAGGGAUGCAGAAUUCCAGGUGUAGCGGUGAAAUGCGUAGAUAUCUGGAGGAAUACCAGUGGCGAAGGCGGCAUCCUGGACCGGUAUUGACGCUGAGGCGCGAAAGCUAGGGUAGCAAACGGG